GGACUGUCCUUUCAUGAUGAUGAAUUAAAGGAAAUAAUGAGUUGGGUACAGGAUACAUUUCCUCCAUAAAUGAGUUGAUUUUUUUCAUGACAAAUAUCUCUAGCAAAUGAUGAAAACUGCAAAAAAUAGCAAGACUUUUAGUCAGCGUCAUUUGAUAACUUUAUCUUUUAAGGCAUCCUGUCUUAUCUAAUGAUAGGUUUCACUUCGUGUUUAGAAGCAAGUUAAGUUGCAGAGUUUGUUGAUCUCAACAUACUCUGAUAAAUGUCGAAGUAUGACGUAGCUUUAUUUCGAGAAACAUCUUCUCAUCAAUAUAAUUUCAAAAUCUCCCUGAUUCGACCAAACAUUCUUCAGUGUCUCUCUCAAGAAACGGAAGAAGAUAAACAAAUGCAAUUUGAGAAUUAGAAUUGGCUAUCCAUUUGCAGUUUUCUCCUGUCAAGAAUUCAAGCGAUCUUUUUUCAUCUGUAAUGGCCGUACGCAUAGCAUUAUUAAAGAAUCUCCUGUUGCUUUUAUGCAGUUCUGUGGCAAUGGCUUCCAGUUGCCAUCCUUCGCCUUGGAUUGAAAGAAAAUAUGAAGCUGAUUAUUAUUUCGUGUUUUUACUGUUCAUUCUGUCAUCUAUCUCGGAUAUGUGUAGCUCACACAAAUUUAGCUUUUUCAUCAAUCUUUUCCAAGUAAUUCAUUUCAUCAAUUACGAAGAAUCCAAACGGAGAACUAUUCAUCACUGAAAACAAUUUCAAAGUUUGUGUGUUAAUGGAACUUAUUCAGAUUUUCGGAUAUGACAUUGAAUUGCGUUUGGAAUCUGUGUUAAAUGCAUUAGAUUGAUUGCAGGCCAAAUUAUCGAAAAGGUAAAAUAGGCAACUACCUAGGCUUCUCAAAACCUCAAGAGGGGAGACUUUUGUAGUUUUUUUUUCAGGCUUAUUUAAUUUUGUACUUUCAUUUGAUUUAUUGUGGUUAUGUACUAUUGGACAUUUUCAAAUUAAAAUCAACUUUGUUUGAAUUUUAGUACAUC